GACGAACGCUGGCGGCGUGCUUAACACAUGCAAGUCGAGCGGUAAGGCCCGUUUGGGGUACACGAGCGGCGAACGGGUGAGUAACACGUGAGUAAUCUGCCUUUGGCUUGGGAAUAACGUUACGGGAAAGUCGGGGACUAAUGCCUGAUGUUUACUGUCUGCUGCAGUGGGUGGGUGGUAGGAAAGUAUUUUUUGGCCGAGGGAUGAGCUCGCGGUCUAUCAG
rnacentral:rRNA from 1 species